rnacentral:rRNA from 1 species
UCAAGUAAUUAAGUGCAUGUGGUGGAUGCCUUGGCAGUCAGAGGCGAUGAAAGACGUGAUAGCCUGCGAAAAGCUCCGGGGAGGCGGCAAAUAUCCUUUGAUCCGGAGAUGUCUGAAUGGGGGAACCCACCUACUUUAAGGUAGGUAUUGCAACAUGAAUACAUAGUGUUGCAAGGCGAACGAGGGGAAGUGAAACAUCUCAGUACCCUUAGGAAAAGAAAUCAAUUGAGAUUCCCUCAGUAGCGGCGAGCGAACGGGGAUCAGCCCAUUAAGUUAUGUGUGUUUUAGUGGAACGCUCUGGGAAGUGCGAACGUAGAGGGUGAUAUUCCCGUACACGAAAGGGCACACAUAAUGAUGACGAGUAGGGCGAGGCACGUGAAACCUUGUCUGAAUAUGGGGGGACCAUCCUCCAAGGCUAAAUACUCCUGACUGACCGAUAGUGAACCAGUACCGUGAGGGAAAGGCGAAAAGAACCCCUGUGAGGGGAGUGAAAUAGAUCCUGAAACCGCAUGCAUACAAGCAGUGGGAGCACCUUCGUGGUGUGACUGCGUACCUUUUGUAUAAUGGGUCAGCGACUUAUAUUCAGUAGCGAGGUUAACCGUAUAGGGGAGCCGUAGAGAAAUCGAGUCUUAAUAGGGCGUUUAGUUGCUGGGUAUAGACCCGAAACCAGGCGAUCUAUCCAUGAGCAGGUUGAAGGUUGGGUAACACUAACUGGAGGACCGAACCCACUGUCGUUGAAAAGCCAGGGGAUGACUUGUGGAUAGGGGUGAAAGGCUAAUCAAGCCUGGUGAUAGCUGGUUCUCCCCGAAAGCUAUUUAGGUAGCGCCUCGGACGAAUACCAUAGGGGGUAGAGCACUGUUUCGGCUAGGGGGUCAUCCCGACUUACCAAACCGAUGCAAACUCCGAAUACCUAUGAGUACUAUCCGGGAGACAGACUGCGGGUGCUAACGUCCGUAGUCAAGAGGAAAACAAUCCAGACCGCCAGCUAAGGCCCCAAAAUCAUAGUUAAGUGGGAAACGAUGUGGGAAGGCAUAGACAGCUAGGAGGUUGGCUUAGAAGCAGCCACCCUUUAAAGAAAGCGUAAUAGCUCACUAGUCGAGUCGGCCUGCGCGGAAGAUGUAACGGGGCUAAAACUAUGUGCCGAAGCUGCGGAUGUAUACUUUGUAUACGUGGUAGGGGAGCGUUCUGUAAGCCGAUGAAGGUGUGUUGAGAAGCAUGCUGGAGGUAUCAGAAGUGCGAAUGCUGACGUGAGUAACGACAAAACGGGUGAAAAACCCGUUCGCCGAAAGACCAAGGGUUCCAGUCCAACGUUAAUCGGGGCUGGGUGAGUCGACCCCUAAGGCGAGGCCGAAAGGCGUAGUCGAUGGGAAAAUGGUUAAUAUUCCAUUACUUCUGUGUAAUGCGAUGAGAGGACGGAGAAGGCUAAAUCAGCCUGGCGUUGGUUGUCCAGGUGAAAGGAUGUAGGCAUGUAUCUUAGGCAAAUCCGGGGUACUCUAUGCUGAGAUCUGAUAGCAAGCUGUACUUGUACAGCGAAGUGGUUGAUGCCAUGCUUCCAGGAAAAGUCUCUAAGCUUCAGUUACACAGGAAUCGUACCCGAAACCGACACAGGUGGUCAGGUCGAGUAGACCAAGGCGCUUGAGAGAACUCUGCUGAAGGAACUAGGCAAAAUGGUACCGUAACUUCGGGAGAAGGUACGCUGUUGUUGGUGAUGGAACUCGCUUCCUGAGCUGACGACAGCCGCAGAAACCAGGCCGCUGCAACUGUUUAUUAAAAACAUAGCACUCUGCAAACACGAAAGUGGACGUAUAGGGUGUGAUGCCUGCCCGGUGCUGGAAGGUUAAUUGAUGGGGUUAGCGUAAGCGAAGCUCUUGAUCGAAGCCCCAGUAAACGGCGGCCGUAACUAUAACGGUCCUAAGGUAGCGAAAUUCCUUGUCGGGUAAGUUCCGACCUGCACGAAUGGCAUAAUGAUGGCGGCGCUGUCUCCAGCAGAGGCUCAGUGAAAUCGAAAUCGCUGUGAAGAUGCAGUGUACCCGCGGCUAGACGGAAAGACCCCGUGAACCUUUACUGCAGCUUGACACUGAACUUUGACCUUACUUGUGUAGGAUAGGUGGGAGGCUUUGAAGCUGGAACGCUAGUUCCAGUGGAGCCGUCCUUGAAAUACCACCCUGGUAAUGUUGAGGUUCUAACUCUGUCCCGUGAUCCGGGACGAGGACCGUGUCUGGUGGGUAGUUUGACUGGGGCGGUCUCCUCCUAAAGAGUAACGGAGGAGUACGAAGGUGCGCUCAGCGUGGUCGGAAAUCACGCGUAGAGUAUAAAGGCAAAAGCGCGCUUAACUGCGAGACCCACAAGUCGAGCAGGUACGAAAGUAGGUCUUAGUGAUCCGGUGGUUCUGUAUGGAAGGGCCAUCGCUCAACGGAUAAAAGGUACUCUGGGGAUAACAGGCUGAUACCGCCCAAGAGUUCAUAUCGACGGCGGUGUUUGGCACCUCGAUGUCGGCUCAUCUCAUCCUGGGGCUGAAGCAGGUCCCAAGGGUAUGGCUGUUCGCCAUUUAAAGAGGUACGCGAGCUGGGUUUAGAACGUCGUGAGACAGUUCGGUCCCUAUCUACCGUGGGCGCUGGAAAUUUGAGAGGAUCUGCUCCUAGUACGAGAGGACCAGAGUGGACGAACCUCUGGUGUACCGGUUGUGACGCCAGUCGCAUCGCCGGGUAGCUAUGUUCGGAAGGGAUAACCGCUGAAAGCAUCUAAGCGGGAAGCCUACCUCAAGAUAAGAUUUCCCUAGGACUUUAUGUCCUCUAAAGAGCCAUUCGAGACUAGGACGUUGAUAGGUUGGAUGUGGAAGCAUAGUGAUAUGUGAAGCUGACCAAUACUAAUUGCUCGUGAGGCUUGACUAU